GAUGAACGCUGACAGAAUGCUUAACACAUGCAAGUCAACUGUGGCGGACGGGUGAGUAACGCGUAAAGAACUUGCCUCACAGAUAGGGACAACAUUUGGAACCGAAUGCUAAUACCUGAUACUGUGAGAGAGCUUUGCGUCCCAUUAGCUGGUUGGAGAGGUACCGGCCCACCAAGGCGAUGAUGGGUAGCCGGACUGAGAGGGUGAUCGGGCACAAGGGGACUGAGACACGGCCCUUACGCCUACGUGAGGAAUGAGUGGGGAAUAGUGGACAAUGGACCAAAGUCUGAUCCAGCAAUUCUGUGUGCACGAUGAAGUUUUCGGAAUGUAAAGUGCUGUCAGUUGGGAAGCGGUACCAACCGAAGAAGGGACGGCUAAAUACGUGCCAGCCGCCGCGGUAAUUC
rnacentral:rRNA from 1 species